GAAUAUAAAUAGAAGCAGCAGAAAACAGCGAAAAGGGGAUCCCCCAUCUUCAUACACACAUCCUCAUAUACAUACAUAUUCAUCAUUCUCUCCAAGCCGUCUUGAAGUUCCACAAAGGCAUUAGCAUCAAGGGGGAGUCCUCAGCCGAAGUUUCACAAGUUCAAAGCUGCAGAGAAUUAUUCUCGGUUCUUUUGAUCUAUUUCUUUAUGCUGCUUUUUAUGUUCUUUUGUUUUAC
rnacentral:misc_RNA from 1 species